rnacentral:rRNA from 1 species
UUUGGUGRCGAUAGCGAAGAGGUCACACCCGUUCCCAUUCCGAACACGGCAGUUAAGCUCUUCAGCGCCGAUGGUAGUUGGGGGUUUCCCCCUGUGAGAGUAGGACGGAAG